AAUUUUGGACAAUGUUGAAAACCGUGCUCCAGUCAUCAAUCGUGUAUGAUGAACGCCUGCUGGAUGUAAAGUACUUGUGGCAGAGACGAAUAGGUACCUACUAAUACGAGGUACUACUGACGGAAUCUGCAGAAUAAGUACCGGCUAACUACGAUCCAUCAGCCGCGGUAAUACGUAGGGUGCAAGCGUUAAUCGUAAUUAUAGGGCGUAAAGCGUGUAUAGGCGUGUCGGAAAGAAAGAUGUGAAAUCCCAGGGCUCAACCUUGGAAAUUCAUUAUUAACUGCCGAGCUAGAGUAUGUCAGAGGGGGGUAGAAUUCCACGUGUAGCAGUGAAAUGAGUAGAUAUGUGGAGGAAUACCGAUGGCAAAGUCAGCCCCCUGUGAUAAUACUGACGCUCAGACACGAAAGCGUGAGGAGCAAAC
rnacentral:rRNA from 1 species